AGCAUAGAUACACAUUGAAGAAAAAACAUUUCGAUCCAGUGAAAACUCCAGAACAGAACUUUGCCAAUCUGCCUGAUGGAGUCUCCUCUAAGAGUUGGUCGGAUUUGGUUACAUAUUGGUUUACACCAAAGGCCAUGGAAAAAUCUGAACUUGGAAAAAAUGCUCGAGCAUUACAAGACCGUAAUCACAAGAGUGGUGCUACAAGCUUUGCUAAUCGAAGAGCUGAUUUG